rnacentral:tRNA from 1 species
GUGGAUGGUUCAGUGGUUAAGAGUGUCGACUGCUCUUCCAAAAAGGUCCUGAGUUCAAAUCCCAGCAGCCACA